GCUGGAAUGGCGGAAUUGGCAGACGCGCUAGGUUCAGGGUCUAGUGGCCGUAAGGCUGUGGGGGUUCAACUCCCCCUUCCAGCA
rnacentral:tRNA from 1 species